rnacentral:tRNA from 1 species
AGUGAGAUGGCCGAGCGGUCUAAGGCGCCAGACUAAGGAUCUGGUCCGAAAGGGCGUGGGUUCGAAUCCCACUCUCAUCA